rnacentral:rRNA from 1 species
GACGAACGCUGGCGGCGUGCUUAACACAUGCAAGUCGAACGGAAAGGCCCUGCUUUUGUGGGGUGCUCGAGUGGCGAACGGGUGAGUAACACGUGAGUAACCUGCCCUUGACUUUGGGAUAACUUCAGGAAACUGGGGCUAAUACCGGAUAGGAGCUCCUGCUGCAUGGUGGGGGUUGGAAAGUUUCGGCGGUUGGGGAUGGACUCGCGGCUUAUCAGCUUGAUGGUGGGGUAGUGGCUUACCAAGGCUUUGACGGGUAGCCGGCCUGAGAGGGUGAACGGCCACAUUGGGACUGAGAUACGGCGCAGACUCCUACGGGAGGCAGCAGUGGGGAAUCUUGCACAAUGGGCGGAAGCCUGAUGCGGCAACGCCGCGUGCGGGAUGACGGCUUUCGGGUUGUAAACCGCUUUCGCCUGUGACGAAGCGUGAGUGACGGUAAUGGGUAAAGAAGCACCGGCUAACUACGUG